rnacentral:lncRNA from 1 species
CUGAGCUUGAUGGGUGUCAGGGUCAGUCCAAGUGAAAGUGGAGAGGCUGGGAUUAAGGGUGCAAAGGAAUAGUAAAGAAAGCAUGUUUGAGAUCUAGAACAGAAUAAUGGGUUUUAGAGGCAGGUAUUGAGGAUAGGAGAGUAUAUGGGUUUGGCACCACGGGGUGGAUAGGCAAAACAAUUUGGGUGAUAAGGUGCAGAUCCUGAACUAACUUGUAACGCUUGUCUGGUUUUAGGACAGGUAAAAUGGGGGAAUUGUAAGGAGAGUUUAUAGGCUUUCAAAGGCCAUGCUGUAGCAGGGGGCUUCUGAGGCGAUCCAGCAGUGUCAGUCUUCAGCAGCUAAGCCAAGAAGAUCUGGGAAGGAGUCAGUCAGACAGCCUUGGGCGAGAGUUCCACGGGCUCUGGGAGUGGCAGCCAGGAACCUGUGACUUCAAGAAGGGGACCCUUUUGGAAGGGAAGCACUGACUGAAGAAGACGUUCCCAUAGUCCUCCAGAAGAGACAAAGAACUCUGGAAACAAGUUUGCCCUCGCUAUCAGCUCACCCUGAACGGAUCCACAGAGUAAUUACGUGGUAUAGAACUAGAUGCCCUCGGCACAAAUUCAAUGUCAUAUAGAGCCCAGAAUGAGUACACUGUCCAUUCAGAUUUUCAGGAAAGGUAAAUUUACAACAGAAUGGAGCCCAUGAGGAAACAGCAAACCAUGUUCUUUAAUUGCCAAGGAUGCAAGCAAACAAGAGGCCCAAGAGAAGAAGACAGUAAUCCAGAAGAAUCCACACAACUCUCCAGAUAGUUUCCACAUCACAUACAUGUCAGUUGCUGAAAAUGCAAGACGCAGUCCCUAGAUGAGGAUUACAAAGAUCUAACGGGAAGAACUGCUGUACAGGAAACAUGGCACCAGUAUCUGCUUGGCUUCCGGCGAGGACACAGGAAGCGUAAAAUCAGAGCUGAAGGUAAAGGGAGAGCCCAACCUCACAAGGCAUGAGUGAGCGCAAGAGAGAGAGUGAGCAGGAGGUGCUACACGGUUUCAAAUGACCAGAACUCACUAUCGCAAGGACAGCGCCAAGCCACGAAGGACCCACUCCCAUGACCCAAACACCUCCCACCAGGCGCCACCUCCAACAUCAGGGAUUACACUUCAACCUGUGAUUCAGGGGACAAAUAUCCAAACAAUAGCAAUUGGCAACUUCAUAUUUAGAAAUUACUGGCAUUAUUAUCAUCUAAAUCUGUUUCACUUCUUGGAAAACCAGAUGUAUUUUACAUAGGGAGAAAAAGUAAUAUGGGAAGUAGAAAUCUCAAUAAAGAAUGGACUUCAGUUAACGUGAAUGUAUCAAUAUUUGUUAACUUUAACAUAUUUGCUAUACUAAUGGGAAUGGUACUGAUAGGAUAAACUGGAUAUGAGGUAUGUGGGAAAUCUCUGUGCUGUCUUCUCACUUUUCUGUAAAUCUAAAACAGUCUAUUAAAAAAUACCAUUGGUGGUGGCUGUACCCCCAACUCAAUCAAUAAAGUCAUUUAAAAAUAUGUAAUAUACAUUGGGAUUUAGCCAUUGUGGUCUUUCUCCAUUAUAAGCCCUCUUACACCAUGCAGAGACAUACUGUACUUGAUCUAUUCUGAAGUGGUUGUUAUCCAGGAUAUGGAGAGAACUUAAAUAAAUUUGUAGGUGGGGAUAUGCCUUCCAAGAAUUUUUGGCCUGGAGGCAAGAGGGGAAAAAUUAAAAGUCUCAUCCCCCUAAAAAAAAAUUGCUAUGCACUUCUUAGUGUCAUUUUGUGAAUUAAAUACAGCUUGUCUGAUUUAAAAAAAAAAUUAACAAUUGAUGUUGAUAUCUAGACUCAUGAAAAAUAUAACAUCGAAAAAUUACUGUAACUAUAAACCUGACAAUUUUGUUUACCUUAAAGAAUGCUAUGGCUGAUAGAAACAAAAAGUGUAACUAGCUAAGUAGAUAUACAAAAUAUUUUAUUUUACCUAUACUUCUGAAUGUCAACUAACAGGUAUUGCUAUAGAUGUUUUUACAAAUGUUUGCCUAAAGAUAUUUUUGUACAUUUUAUAGUUCUCUUUUAUUUGUAACCAAGUAUCUUGUGCUUGUCAGCUCUAUGAUUUGAUUUUUAAAAAUAUAUUAAAUUAUGAAUCCAUAAAUAUGUAGAACAGAAAAAUAUAUUAACUCACUUGAUAUGUGUAGGAAGACAACAUUACUCUUAGUAAGACAAGUGCUUUUUGAUAAAAAAUAGGCAAGUAUUGUGUAAGUGGGAAAGCUUUAAACAAAUAAAUUUAUAGGAAAUUAGAGUUUCCCAAAAGUUGGCAUCAAAGAAUAGAGUUUCAGGGCACUGAACCAGAGGGAAUUUAGAGAACUGAGUUUUGGGUAGAGAGAGAAUCCAGCAAGGUUAUGGCAGGAAAUAAGCACCAUAUCCCCCAUGAGAAACCCCCUGUGUCAAGGAGCACCAGACAGAAUUCUAAGAUAGGACUUCCAAUUUUGAGUCAUGCCCUUUGCUACUCUGUGCAGAACUACGUCUGUGUAAUUAUGAAUUUUCAUUAAAACCCGC